GAGUUUGAUCCUGGCUCAGGAUGAACGCUAGCUACAGGCUUAACACAUGCAAGUCGAGGGGCAGCAUCGCGAUAGCUUGCUAUUGCGGAUGGCGACCGGCGCACGGGUGAGUGACGCGUAUCCAACCUUCCCGCAACUGGGGAAUAACCUUGCGAAAGUAAGACUAAUACCCCAUGGUCUCCACGGAUGGCAUCUGAAAUGGAGUAAAGGUUUCGGCCGGUUGCGGAUGGGGAUGCGUCCGAUUAGCUUGACGGCGGGGUAACGGCCCACCGCGGCAUCGAUCGGUAGGGGUUCUGAGAGGAAGGUCCCCCACAUUGGAACUGAGACACGGUCCAAACUCCUACGGGAGGCAGCAGUGAGGAAUAUUGGUCAAUGGGCGGAAGCCUGAACCAGCCAAGUAGCGUGAAGGACGACUGCCCUAUGGGUUGUAAACUUCUUUUAUGCGGGGAUAAAGUUCGCCACGUGUGGCGUUUUGCAGGUACCGCAUGAAUAAGGACCGGCUAAUUCCGUGCCAGCAGCCGCGGUAAUACGGAAGGUCCAGGCGUUAUCCGGAUUCAUUGGGUUUAAAGGGAGCGUAGGCCGCCUUUUAAGCGUGUUGUGAAAUGUAGGGGCUCAACCCCUGCACUGCAGCGCGAACUGGAGGGCUUGAGUACACACAAAGUAGGCGGAAUUCAUGGUGUAGCGGUAAAGUGCUUAGAUAUCAUGAAGAACCCCGAUGCGAAGGCAGCUUACUGGAGUGUAACUGACGCUGAAGCUCGAAAGCGCGGGUAUCGAACAGGAUUAGAUACCCUGGUAGUCCGCGCGGUAAACGAUGGAUGCCCGCUGUUUGCCACUUUGGUAAGCGGCCAAGCGAAAGCGUUAAGCAUCCCACCUGGGGAGUACGCCGGCAACGGUGAAACUCAAAGGAAUUGACGGGGGCCCGCACAAGCGGAGGAACAUGUGGUUUAAUUCGAUGAUACGCGAGGAACCUUACCCGGGCUUGAAUUGCAGGAGAACGAUCCAGAGAUGGUGAGGCCCUUCGGGGCUCCUGUGAAGGUGCUGCAUGGUUGUCGUCAGCUCGUGCCGUGAGGUGUCGGCUUAAGUGCCAUAACGAGCGCAACCCCUCUCCGUAGUUGCCAUCGGGUGAAGCCGGGCACUCUGCGGAUACUGCCACCGUAAGGUGUGAGGAAGGUGGGGAUGACGUCAAAUCAGCACGGCCCUUACGUCCGGGGCUACACACGUGUUACAAUGGGGCAUACAGAAAGCAGGCGGCCGGCAACGUCCGUCUAAUCAUCAAAGUGUCCCUCAGUUCGGACUGGGGUCUGCAACCCGACCCCACGAAGCUGGAUUCGCUAGUAAUCGCGCAUCAGCCAUGGCGCGGUGAAUACGUUCCCGGGCCUUGUACACACCGCCCGUC
rnacentral:rRNA from 1 species